UCCGGUUUGUCACCGGCAGUCUCCCUAGAGUGCCCUUGCGUAGCAACUAGGGACAAGGGUUGCGCUCGUUGCGGGACUUAACCCAACAUCUCACGACACGAGCUGACGACAGCCAUGCAGCACCUGUGUUCCGGUUCUCUUGCGAGCACUCCUCUAUCUCUAAAGGAUUCCAGACAUGUCAAGGGUAGGUAAGGUUUUUCGCGUUGCAUCGAAUUAAUCCACAUCAUCCACCGCUUGUGCGGGUCCCCGUCAAUUCCUUUGAGUUUUAAUCUUGCGACCGUACUCCCCAGGCGGUCAACUUCACGCGUUAGCUGCGCUACUAAGGCCCGAAGGCCCCAACAGCUAGUUGACAUCGUUUAGGGCGUGGACUAC
rnacentral:misc_RNA from 1 species